GCCCCCUUCCCCCUGGGUUGAGUGCUCUGCAAGGCGAGGUCAGGCCAGUGGGUCCUCUGCCUCAGUCUGGCCGCAGCACGGAGGACAGGGGUUUAUCCUCGAGGCCAGCAGGCCCGAGGCCCCAGGCGCUUCCGGCCCGCACGCUGUCCUGAGCCGCAGACGGAGGCCUCAUUGUCCUCGUGGAUGGAGGGCAGGAAGACCCAGGCCGCACUCGGCUCGGGGCUCCCAGGGACAGCAGCUCCCAGGACAGGGCAGGGCAGGGGACAGCCCCAAGGCUCCCUGCUGCCUGGGGACCUGAUGCACCUGUAACAGCCUGUCCCUGCCUGGAGAGCCUGGUGGCUCAGGGGUGGCUCAGGGCAGCCUCCCGGCCCUGGGCCCUGGCUCAAGGGGCCACAGACUCAGUGUCCACACCCGCAGGAGACGGCUGACGCCCUGCCCUUCACGGGUCUCAGCCUGUGACACACAGCCAGAGGCUGCUCCCCGCCCUUGGGGAGCUUAGAGGUCAGCCCUGUCCCCUUCACUUAUUUAAGAAGCACUGGGCCGUGCACUGAGGCACACUUGUAAUCUCCACUACUCGGGAGGCAGAGGCAGGAAGAUCGCUUCAGCUCAGGAGUUCAAACCAGCCUGGGCAACAGUGAGAUUCCUUCUCUAAUAAAUGAGUGAAUAAAAUUAAAAACAAAAAGCACCUUUUAAAACCCUGCUGGCUGCAGCAGACAGAGAAGUCGGGCAGAUGCGCAUGUCCUCUGCAUGGGCAGCGAGGCAGCCCCCGUCUGUGGCUCUGCUGAGCCAUGCUGCUCCGGUGACGCCUGUCCCGCUGUCUCUCAGGACAAGACAUCAAGUCAGACGGCUUCAGCAUCGAGACCUGCAAGAUCAUGGUGGACAUGCUGGACUCGGACGGGAGCGGCAGGCUGGGGCUGAAGGAGUUCUACAUCCUGUGGACGAAGAUCCAGAAGUACCAGAAAAUUUACCGGGAGAUCGACAUAGACAGGUCUGGCACCAUGAACUCCUACGAGAUGCGGAGGGCGCUGGAGGAAGCAGGGUUCAGGCUUCCUUGCGAACUGCACCAAGUCAUCGUUGCCCGGUUUGCAGACGACCGAGCUCAUCAUCGACUUUGACAACUUCGUCCGGUGCCUGGUUCGGCUGGAGACGCUGUUCAAGAUAUUCAAGCAGCUGGACCCCGAGGACACCGGGACCAUCCAGCUGGACCUCAUCUCUUGGCUGUGUUUCUCGGUGCUGUGAAGGGGUGCCCAGCACGCCUGGAGGCUACAGAGGACCCAGGGACUGAGUCUGGACACCUGGAUCGGGCUUGGCACUGUGGGACAUUACGUACACUGAGGACUGUAGCUGAGAACACUGUCUGAGAUAGCCAGACUGUCCCGCCAGGUAGAAGGUUUGCUUAUUAUACAAGUGCAAGUGAGCUGCUUAACCCCUGACAAGCCCAAAGGAAGCCUACACCUACAAACAGUACCCACUUUUCACUUUGACACGCUUUCCUGUUCGGAGCAAUGCUAAACCAGGAGGACAAGGAGGUGUUUUAAAUCAGUCUCCAGGCCAAGAGUAACGGGGAUGCUGAGUUUUAAAAUGCAGAGGUGGCGGCGUCGCCCCCCCAGCAGCCCAGGGACAGUGGCCUCAGCAAGGCAGCGAGAGCCCGGGGAGGAAAGCGCCCUCCUCAUGGGCCAGAUGAGAGCAGGGCGUGCACAGUGCUCAGGUCCUUGUACACGCUCAGCCCUGGGCCUUCACAGGGUCCCACACGUGACUGGUGAGGCUGUGGCCAAGCCAGGCUGGUUGCAAACUGAGGGCUAAGACCCUGGCCCUGCACUCCGUGUCCUCGGUGCCUUUCCGUGGUGAGGGAGGGCGUCCUGGAGGAGACGCCGCAGCUGCUUCUGGGCCUGACCUCGGGAAAGCUGCGACACUAAAACCAUUGCCUUUGCCUUACCACCUUCCUAGUGUCCUGUUGAAUAAAGUUGCCCGACAGCC
ensembl:lncRNA